UACGUAGGUGGCAAGCGUUGUCCGGAUUUACUGGGCGUAAAGAGCGCGCAGGCGGUCGGAUAAGUCGAAUGUGAAAGCCCCUGGCUCAACUGGGGGAGGGUCAUUCGAUACUGUUCGACUCGAAGGCAGGAGAGGGAAGUGGAAUUCCCGGUGUAGUGGUGAAAUGCGUAGAUAUCAGGAAGAACACCCGUGGCUAAGGCGGCUCUCUAGUACGGUACUGACGCUGAGACGCGAA
rnacentral:rRNA from 1 species